rnacentral:rRNA from 1 species
AAUAGAUACCCGGGUAGUCCACGCCGUAAACGGUGAGUGCUAGGUGUCAGGGGUUUCGAUCCCCUUGGUGCCGAAGUCAACACAGUAAGCACUCCGCCUGGGGAGUACGGUCGCAAGACUGAAACUCAAAGGAAUUGACGGGGACCCGCACAAGCAGUGGAGUAUGUGGUUUAAUUCGAAGCAACGCGAAGAACCUUACCAGGUCUUGACAUCCCUCUGAAUACCCUGGAGACAGGGUAGGCCUUCGGGACAGAGGAGACAGGUGGUGCAUGGUUGUCGUCAGCUCGUGUCGUGAGAUGUUGGGUUAAGUCCCGCAACGAGCGCAACCCUUGAUUUUAGUUGCCAGCACGUAAAGGUGGGCACUCUAGAAUGACUGCCGGUGACAAACCGGAGGAAGGCGGGGAUGACGUCAAAUCAUCAUGCCCCUUAUGACCUGGGCUACACACGUACUACAAUGGCUGGUACAGAGAGAUGCAAUACCGCGAGGUGGAGCCGAAACUUAAAAACCAGUCUCAGUUCGGAUUGUAGGCUGAAACUCGCCUACA